GUCCACGCCCUAAACGAUGUCAACUAGUUGUUGGUAGAGUAAAAUCUAUGAGUAACGCAGCUAACGCGUGAAGUUGACCGCCUGGGGAGUACGAUCGCAAGAUUAAAACUCAAAUGAAUUGACGUGGGCCCCGCACAAGCGGUGGAUUAUGUGGAUUAAUUCGAUGCAACGCGAAAACCUUACCUGGCCUUGACAUGUACCUAAUUUGGGAGAGAUUCCUUAGUGCUCGAAAGAGAACGGUAACACAGGUGCUGCAUGGCUGUCGU
rnacentral:rRNA from 1 species